rfam:Gossypium hirsutum cultivar TM-1 chromosome 9, whole genome shotgun sequence
CACCGUCCGUCGGUCCUACCGAUUGAAUGGUCCGGUGAAGUGUUCAGAUCGCGGCGACGUGGGCGGUUCGUUGCCCGCGACGUCACGAGAAGUCCACUGAACCUUAUCAUUUAGAGGAAGGAGAAGUCGUAACAAGGUUUUCGUAGGUGAACCUGCGGAAG